rnacentral:lncRNA from 1 species
GUGGUUCUUAACCUGGAGUCCUCAAACGGGGGGCCCGGCCGAUCCACUGGGGGCCCCGGCCCGGCCGAUCCACUGGGGGGAGGGGUACCCCAGUGGGAUCAGUCACACACUUCAAAGUGUACACUAUAUUAACGUUAGGGACCAGUCACACACUUCAAAGUGUACAGUAUUUUAAUGAUCGGAUAAAUCAGGCGUACAUCAAGUAUACAACAGAAUACUAACAGAUCUAGAAUCAGAGAGAAGACAUGAUCAGUUUCUACAUUACCCCCCCAGACGGAUCACAUCGACAUGAUCCGUUUCUACAUUACCCCCCCAGAGGGAUCACAUCAACAUGAUCAGUUUCUACAUUACCCCCCCAGACGGAUCACAUUGACAUGAUCAGUUUUCAGGCAUGUUUCACGGUUAGUAAAGAGAGAAAGAGAGAACAGGGGCACGGGAGAGAAAACAGGGGCGCGGGAGAGAAAACAGGGGCGCGGGAGAGAAAACAGGGGCGCGGGAGAGAAAACAGGGGCGCGGGAGAGAAAACAGGGGCGCGGGAGAGAAAACAGGGGCGCGGGAGAGAAAACAGGGGCGCGGGAGAGAAAACAGGGGCGCGGGAGAGAAAACAGGGGCACGGGAGAGAAAACAGGGGCGUGGGAGAGAGAACAGGGGCGCGGGAGAGAGAACAGGGGCUCGGGAGAGAGAACAGGGGCGCGGGAGAGAGAACAGGGGCACGGGAGAGAGAACAGGGGCACGGGAGAGAGAACAGGGGCACGGGAGAGAGAACAGGGGCACGGGAGAGAGAACAGGGGCACGGGAGAGAGAACAGGGGCACGGUAGGCAUCUCUCUCAUUUCACACCGUCUCCUUAACGACGGACAUGUUUCAGUACGAUACAGUUAAUUUCAAACCGUUGACAGAAGCGCUGCGUCGUGGUCCUGAACACAGCCUACCAUCAUCAUCAUCAUCCUCAUCAUCAUCAUGGCACUAAAACCAGAGCAGCAGAGUCGUGGUCCUGAACAGAGCCGAGUCGUAGCAAGCAAAGCCCAGGGAUCACCGUCCGUUCUUAAAAACACUGACGUCGCCUUUUCGCGACGUAAACAAGAGUUUCUAUUUGACAACACUUCAGGCAGGUCCCGUUCCAGAUGCUUCCGGUUGGUUCCUAGUGAAUCCAUCCUUGUUCCACUGCGGUCCAGUCCUCCACCGGGUCAGUAACGGUCCAGUCCCCCGGGGUCGGUAACGGUCCAGUCCCCCCGGGUCGGUAACGGUCCAGUCCCCCGGGUCGGUAACGGUCCAGUCAAUAACGGUCCAGUCAGUAACGGUCCAGUCCUCCACCGGGUCAGUAACGGUCCAGUCAAUAACGGUCCAGUCCUCCACCGGGUCGGUAACGGUCCAGUCAAUAACGGUCCAGUCCCCCCCGGGGUCGGUAACGGUCCAGUCCCCCCCGGGUCAGUAACGGUCCAGUCAGUAACGGUCCAGUCCCCCCCGGGUCAGUAACGGUCCAGUCUCCCCCGGGUCAGUAACGGUCCAGUCUCCCCCGGGUCAGUAACGGGUCAGUAAUGGCACUUCUCAGGGUUGGUCCAACAGCCUGGGUCUGAAUCUUAACAGCUGUUAGCCUGCUGAACUGAAGCCAAGGCAUUAACUUGGGGGAGCUAACAAGUCUUCAGUAAACAGUCCUGGAAUUAUCCCAAAGCAGGAGAGGGGCUGGUGUAGUCAGUGGGCAGAGCUAAGGUACGGCAGCUCCACCCAUAAUGCACUGGGCUAAGGUCACAGAGGUCGUGACCACUUCUGACCCUGCCCACAUCAGGGGUUAAAGUUCAUAUAGCAGAGAUAUUAAAAAAAAAAAACAGUCAUGAUCCUGAAGGAUGAUGAAACACAAUCAGUGUGUGUGUGUGUGUGUGUGUGUGUGUGUGUGUGGUGGGGGUCAGAGUUCAUAUGGUCCGUUUGACACAGGGUCGUCCACUGAGGUGGGAACAUAUGGCUGCUCAACCAAUCAGCAUCCUCUAACAUGUCCACACCUAGACACAGAAAGAGAGAGAGAGGAGGAGAGACAAGCGAGACACAAGAAAGAGAGAG